UACGAAGGGGGCUAGCGUUGUUCGGAAUUACUGGGCGUAAAGGGCUCGUAGGUGGCCAACUAAGUCAGACGUGAAAUCCCUCGGCUUAACCGGGGAACUGCGUCUGAUACUGGAUGGCUUGAGUUUGGGAGAGGGAUGCGGAAUUCCAGGUGUAGCGGUGAAAUGCGUAGAUAUCUGGAGGAACACCGGUGGCGAAGGCGGCAUCCUGGACCGACACUGACGCUGAGGAGCGAAAGCCAGGGGAGCAAACGGG
rnacentral:rRNA from 1 species